UACGUAGGGUGCAAGCGUUGUCCGGAUUUAUUGGGCGUAAAGAGCUCGUAGGCGGUCUGUCGCGUCGGAUGUGAAAACCCAGGGCUCAACCCUGGGCCUGCAUUCGAUACGGGCAGACUAGAGUGUGGCAGGGGGAGACUGGAAUUCCUGGUGUAGCGGUGAAAUGCGCAGAUAUCAGGAGGAACACCGGUGGCGAAGGCGGGUCUCUGGGCCAAUACUGACGCUGAGGAGCGAAAGCGUGGGGAGCGAACAGG
rnacentral:rRNA from 1 species